AAUCAACGCUGGCGGCGUGCCUAACACAUGCAAGUCGAGCGCGAAAGGGGAGUAAUCCCCAAGUAGAGCGGCGAACGGGUGAGUAACGCGUGGGUGAUCUACCUCCGAGUGGGGAAUAACCCCGGGAAACUGGGGCUAAUACCGCAUGACAUCCCUGAGUCACAUCGGGGAUCAAAGCCGGGGACCGCAAGGCCUGGCGUUUGGAGAUGAGCCCGCGUCCGAUUAGCUAGUUGGCGGGGAACGGCCCACCAAGGCUUCGAUCGGUAGCCGGCCUGAGAGGGCGGACGGCCACACUGGGACUGAGACACGGCCCAGACUCCUACGGGAGGCAGCAGUGGGGAAUUUUUCGCAAUGGGGGAAACCCUGACGAAGCAACGCCGCGUGGAGGAUGAAGGCC
rnacentral:rRNA from 1 species